rnacentral:rRNA from 1 species
GACGAACGCUGGCGGCGUGCCUAAUACAUGCAAGUAGAACGCCGUUGCGCACGGGUGAGUAUAGCGUAGGUAACUGCCCCAUUGCGGGGGGUAACUAUUGGAAACCAUUGCUAAUACCGCAUACUGUGAGCUGGACCUGCGUUGUAUUAGCUAGUUGGUGGGGUAAAGGCUCACCAAGGCGACGAUACAUAGCCGAGCUGGGAGGGUGAUCCGCCACACUUGGACUGGGGAACGGCCCAGACUUCUACGGGGAGGAGGCGGAGGGGAUCUUCGGAAAUGGACGGAAGGCUGAACGAGCAACGCCGCGGGAGUGAAGGAGGUUUUCGGGUCGGAAAGCUCUUUUGUGAGAGAAGCGGUAACUAACCAGAAAGGGACGGCUAACUACGUGCCAGCAGCCGCGGUAAUUC